GGCUGGGAGGCGGGCGGGCGGGCGAGGAGCGAGCGGAGCGGAGGCGAGCGGGGACCCCCCUCCCCUGCCUCUGGCCGCUGGGGCGCUCUGCAGUCUUAAAGCAGCAGCG
rnacentral:miRNA from 1 species